ensembl:lncRNA
GCGUUGGGCUUUUGUUUUCCCACACAGCUUAGUCCUUAGCUUCAAAAAAAGUUCUGUGUUGAAGUACUCACCGGGAGAGGUGGAUACAAUCUAGGAGAUCCAGCUGAGGUGGAAUCCUGGGGAUGUUGACCAGAGGUCUCCAUCGCUGAGAUUGGAGCCUGCAGAAACUGUGACUCUAUGAUCUCUGGGAGAGCUGGCAGAGGGGCAGCAGCUGCUAUAGGAACUUCACAUGGCCCUGGAUCAGGCAUUAAGGUGGCCUCCGAUCCUGAUGGAGCACUACGAGGCAGGAGGUCCUGCUAAGGAACACGGAACUAAUAAGCCACCACCAACCGGAAGAGUUCGGGAAAGGUCAAAAGGAGACACUACAUGUCCGACCACCUCCCAGAAUCCUUCUGUCUGGCAUCCAUCUUGGCUGAACAAGGCAUGCACCACCAGGAAGGACUAUGAGUCAGAAUGAUUGGCUAAGGGCAACCUGGAAACUAAUCACUUUACAUAAAACCUGGGACUGCAAGCCAUGUGGCAGAGCAGUUCUCCCAGGUUCCCUUACCCUACUGCUCUCCACCCAGGUGGCAUUUCCCAAUAAAAUCUCUUGCUUUGUC